rnacentral:rRNA from 1 species
CGGCGGACGGGCGAGUAACACGUGGGUAACCUACCUAUAAGACUGGGACAACUUCGGGAAACCGGAGCUAAUACCGGAUAAGAUAUCGAACCGCAUGGUUCGAUAGUGAAAGAUGGUUUUGCUAUCACUUAUAGAUGGACCCGCGCCGUAUUAGCUAGUUGGUGAGGUAACGGCUCACCAAGGCAACGAUACGUAGCCGACCUGAGAGGGUGAUCGGCCACACUGGAACUGAGACACGGUCCAGACUCCUACGGGAGGCAGCAGUC